rnacentral:rRNA from 1 species
CAAUAGCGUAUAUUUAAGUUGCUGCAGUUAAAAAGCUCGUAGUUGGAUUUCGGGUGGGAAUGGCCGGUCCGCCGUUUCGGUGUGCACUUGCUACGCCCACCUUGCUGCCGGGGACGUGCUCUUGAGUUCACGCUCGGGACACGGAGUCGGCGAGGUUACUUUGAGUAAAUUAGAGUGUUCAAAGCAGGCCUACGCUCUGAAUACAUUAGCAUGGAAUAACACGAUAGGACUCUGGCCUAUCUUGUUGGUCUGUAGGACCGGAGUAAUGAUUAAGAGGGACAGUAGGGGGCAUUCGUAUUUCAUUGUCAGAGGUGAAAUUCUUGGAUUUAUGAAAGACGAACUACUGCGAAAGCAUUUGCCAAGGAUGUUUUCAUUAA